GACGAACGCUGGCGGCGUGCCUAAUACAUGCAAGUCGAACGCUUCUUUCCUCCCGAGUGCUUGCACUCAAUUGGAAAGAGGAGUGGCGGACGGGUGAGUAACACGUGGGUAACCUACCCAUCAGAGGGGGAUAACACUUGGAAACAGGUGCUAAUACCGCAUAACAGUUUAUGCCGCAUGGCAUAAGAGUGAAAGGCGCUUUCGGGUGUCGCUGAUGGAUGGACCCGCGGGGCAUUAGCUAGUUGGUGGGGUAACGGCUGACCAGGGCGACGAUGCAUAGACGACCUGAGAGGGUGAUCGGCCACCCUGGGACUGAGCCACGGCCCAGACUCCUACGGGAGGCAGCAGUAGGGAAUCUUCGGCAAUGGACGAAAGUCUGACCGAGCAACGCCGCGUGAGUGAAGAAGGUUUUCGGAUCGUAAAACUCUGUUGUUAGAGAAGAACAAGGACGUUAGUAACUGAACGUCCCCUGACGGUAUCUAACCAGAAAGCCACGGCUAACUACGUG
rnacentral:rRNA from 1 species